CCUACGGGAGGCAGCAGUCGAGAAUCAUUCACAAUGGGGGAAACCCUGAUGGUGCGACGCUGCGUGGGGGAAUGAAGGUCUUCGGAUUGUAAACCCCUGUCAUGUGGGAGCAAAUUAAAAAGAUAGUACCACAAGAGGAAGAGACGGCUAACUCUGUGCCAGCAGCCGCGGUAAUACAGCGGUCUCAAGCGUUGUUCGGAAUCACUGGGCGUAAAGCGUGCGUAGGCUGUUUCGUAAGUCGUGUGUGAAAGGCGCGGGCUCAACCCGCGGACGGCACAUGAUACUGCGAGACUAGAGUAGUGGAGGGGGAACCGGAAUUCUCGGUGUAGCAGUGAAAUGCGUAGAUAUCGAGAGGAACACUCGUGGCGAAGGCGGGUUCCUGGACAUUAACUGACGCUGAGGCACGAAGGCCAGGGGAGCGAAAGGGAUUAGAUACCCCUGUAGUC
rnacentral:rRNA from 1 species